UUUUUUUUUUUAAGAUUUUAUUUAUUUAUUUAUUUACUUGAGAGAGAGAGAGAGAGAGAGUAAGCAAGCACGGGCAGGGGGAGGGGCAAAGGCAGAAGGAGAAGCAGACUCCCUGCUGAGCAAGGAGCUUAAGGCAGGGGUUCAAUCCCAGGACCCCAGGAUUCUGACUUGAGCUAAAGGCAGAGGCUUAUCUGACUGAGCCUCUCAGGUGCCCCAUGAAUCUGUAGCCAUUCUCACAUACUACUAUUAGAUAUUAGCCAGCACUCAGGGUCACCAUAUCUGUCCCAUUCUAAAUACCUUUGCUGAUAAUGCUAUUGUUAGGUUACCAUUACCCCUAAGGGCUACCAUUUGUUGAGUGCUAUGUGCCUGGCACCACCCCCCAUGUUAGGGGCACUAACCCCCAUGCAGUCAAAAAUCCACAUAUAACUUCUGUCUCCCCCAAAACUUACCUACUUGAUAGCUUACUGCAGACAGAAGCCUUAAUGAUAACAUAAUCGAUUCACUGUAUUUCGUAUGUAACAUGUGUUCUAUACUGUUUCUUACAACAAUGUAAGCCAGAGGAAAGAACAUGUUAAAACCAUAUGAAAUAGAAAAUACAUUUACAAUACUGUACAUUUAUUUAUUGAAAAAAAAAAAAAACCUUCAUGUAAGUGAAUCCACACAGUUCAGACCCAUGUGGUACAAGGAUCAACUGUAUAGGAGCAGCCUGUUUAAAACCAUGAGAAGUAAAUGUUAUUAUCUCUACUCUUCAGAAAGUGCAACAAAAGCUACUUCUAUGUUGCAGCUCAUUCAUUUAAUGCUCACCAUAAUCCUUGACAGAUGAAGACACCGGGGCACAGAGCCAACAGUCUUCCCAACAUCAUAUACAUCAUGUGACAGAGCACACAGAUCUUUGGGAUGCCAAAGCCACGAUCUUAUCCACCGUCCCCAAGGAGUGUGGCUCUCCAUGUCUGCCCUCCAUCCCAUCUACAAUAAGGGCUAGAAGAACAGAUAGGAAAGGGGCCAGGGCUGGUGUGGCCAGAGCUGAACCCCUAAUCCACAAGCCAACUCUUAAAUCGGGUUAGGACCUAUCCUCCAAGGUUCCCUGAAGAAACUUACAACCAGGAAACUGAAAUCCGGCCUCAUAGCUGGCACAGCUCAGGUCCCAGGGAUGUGUGACCCAAUAAAGAGCCUUGUUCUGAAUAGGUGCCCUAUGUCCAUUCAGUGGUCACCAACUGCUUACUUAUUAUGAUCUACUAUGUGCCCAUCCACACUAGGCUCCAGGUUACUGAGCUAAAUAAGCCAGAGGCCAACCUCAACAACCUACAGUGUAGGGAGACCAACAACAUGGAAACAAAGGCUGUUGGAAUCAUGGCAAAGUUCUUGCAGCAGGGAGCAUCAAGGAGGGAGGGCAUUGAUUCUAAUAGUGUGCAUGGAGGUUAACAAAGCCUAAAGGGAAGGGUAGUAGGGAGCCGAGUUUUGGAAGUAAGGCCAGGAAGCCUUACUCCAGGAGGAAGGCAAGAAGCCACGGUGAGCAGCAGUCCCGCUGGGAGGAAGACACCUGUGCUGGCCAUGAGCUGACUCACAACCACUGACCUAAGGACAGACAGAGGCACUGGGAAAAUGAGACUAAUGUCCCAAGAAUCACAUAGAGUAGUAUGUUCACUACGGAAGAUGUUUUCGGCUUAGGGAGAAGUUCUCCAUUCCCACCCAGCACUCAAAAUGAGGGUGCUCACCUUGACCUGAGUCCAGGCAUCCCAAGGAAUACUGCAAUGACUAAUGCAUUCUUAAUGCCAUUUGGCCUAAGUGACAGCUUAACCACAAAGGGACCUCAAAACACCAACGUGAACUAAAAGCACAUGGGAGUGCCAGCAGCCACCCCACCCCAUAGAAACUGCCCUUUCAAUUAGCAAAGACCAAAACAAAAAUAAAUAAAUAAGGUGCUAAAAAAUAAAUAAGGUACUAUAUUUGGCAGAAAUUACGAAACCACGUUUACCAACUAGAUGAAGGCACUCAGUACAGACUGCACACCUUUAUUAACAGGAGUCUACUCAUGGAGAGGAAUGUAACAUGUCUACACCUCGACUGAAGCAGUACUAUCUCUGGAGAGUGGCUUUAGUGUAGACAGCCACGUUCUAUGUUAUAGACCUGUGACAUCUCAUUUUUGUGCAAUCUAGGUACUGUGUUAGUGGUCGCAAAAAAAAUAUAGCAAAUCUCAUGCCAAGUGAGAAUACUUAGAAAUUCACUCGUCGGGAGACAGUACACCUGCUGUGCUUUUUACUCAUCCCUGAAAGCGACUGUGACUCUAACAGUCCACACCGGGGAGGUUAUACAUAUCCACAGGAUUCACAAAAAGCCACUGCAGGUAAACACUCGGGCAACUUGAGAAAGGGCCAGGAGAGCCCUCGCAUUCCUGCCACGGGCCAAGAGACAGGGACGGGUAUGUGUGCCCAGGACUGUGCGCAGCACAGGGCGGACUUCCCAAAGGCGUGCUGGACGAAUUCAUGGCAAGAAAGGAGAGGAGGAAGGAGCGGAGGAGGCGAGAAGAGAAAGGGACAGGGAAAGGAGGGAACAGAAGGGAGGAAUAGAAGGUAAAUCGGAAUGGAAACAGUGGACAUCUAAAUUCUGUUCGACAAAUAAAAGAUCGUUUUUACUUUAUGAUCGUCAGUGUUACACAUACAUUUAAUAAUAGACGUUUUAACACAGAAUUACCUUUGAUUCCCCUCCCUUUCAUACCUUCAAGAGUCCUGUUAAUGCUCAAUUCAAGAUGCAGAAAAAAAACAGGCUAGGUGCUCUGGAUGUCCAGCCGGCGAUUUCUAAAGGGAAAGAUUUAAAAGUCAAUCUGGAGAACAAAAGUGAUUAAUUUUUCAAGUAUCAUUAAAAAGAGACCGAUUUUCACUGAAGAGACAGUGUAUUUCCUAAUAUACCUGGGGAAAAAAAUUCAUGCCCAAAGCCUCUUGCAAAUAAAUACAGCUGCUCUAGCAAACUUGAAGUUGAUUCUAGAAGAAAACAAAAAUCAAUCGUAGGGUGGGCUUUGUUUGUGCAUUUAUUGGAAAACAAACCAAACAAGGAGCCUGUGUACUGCUACUGCCUAUAGCCCCCGCCGCGGUGCCCUGUGCCACUCCAAACACAACACCUCCGCCCACCUGGUCAGUCCUUCUAGGUCACUAAACCAUGCAGGAAACGAGGUAGCCCCUCACCAACAGCUGCAUCACUGCAGAGGGAAUCUGAGAGACUUUAGGAACUUUGCUAAUGUUUGUAAGCGAAUAAAAUAUUACAAAAUAGGCAUUUUAGCCAGUCUCAUUCUCCAAAUGCUGCUAUGCAUGAACUCACACACACAUGCCCAGUUGUCCAGGGGCUUCUUUCUCUUGGAGCCAGGACAGCAGAGCUUGGAGGCAACAUUGUCCCAAAUUGCGAGCACACAAUGUUUCAUCUUUUAGGAAGGAAACAAUUAACACUGACAGCACUUACUCGGGCUCAGAAACAAUGAGAUUCCAUUUUACAAAGGGGAAAAACUGAGGCUUUUUUGAGGAAAGUUGAUGGAUACCAGAGGUCUGACACAUCAAUGCUUUUAUUAGACUUGGAUCAAUCAUGAAAGUGAUUGUUAUCUAAAUACCUGGCAACUCGCAAGACGAUACAGUGGUGGAAAAUUUAAAUACCUUCCCCCUUCAGCAUCUGCUUUCCUUGGAUGCCAUCAAUCCAAAUAACCACAUCUUUGUUUACUUGAAAGUGAGAGCUAGAGACAGGGAAGGAAGAUGCUCAGAUUGCAAAAGAUAUCUUUUUUUUUAUUCAGAUGCACUGUAUUCUCCCCAUGGAUACAUGGGGACUUCGACAGGCAAUGGCUAAGAACCACUUCAAUGCCAACGUCCCAACCAUCAUUACGUUCUUUCUGGAGUAAUGUGUACUGAACAGUAUGCCAGAAGUUUAUUAACAAGGCUGCAAAUCUUGACCUAGAUUUUGCAUAGCUUCAAAAAAUAAAAAUAAAAAAACAGAGCCUGAAAAUGUCUAUUUAAAUAACAACUGAGACUGAUACUUCCCACACCCACAUUUAAAACUUUCAAAAUCAUCUACUUUCCCCCAUCCUUGUAUCUGACAAUGUUCAACAAGAACAUUAGGUAAAAAUUAGUACCAGAUUCUAAUAGAAAUAUGAACUCUAUGUCCUUCAGAUCUUUUUGAUUGUUUACUCUUUGCAAUUUAAGGUUUUAUUCGCCUGCUGAAAUAUAGGAUUCCAGAAUUCAAAUGAAUAAAAUCAUACACAUUUAACAAAGUAUUGGAGAAAUUUUUAUUGAAAUUGGACCCUGAGCUAUUUAAGAUUGAUGGUGACUCAUAACACAGUAAAAAGUUUUAUAUUUAACUAUUUUUCCAAAUAGUAUUUUUUGUCUUGCCCUAAAUUAUAUCAAAAAUGUCUUUAAAAAAUCCUUUUCAUCUUUAUCAUUAUUUUUGCUCUCCUUUCUUUUACUUAUGAAGAGAGAAAACAACAAAGAGGUCAAUCCUUCCUCUAAUGUUUGAGAAAUGCCAGUCACACCAUUAUGAUUGGGAUGGAGAAUAAUACCAUAAAUGAAUUUCAGGAUUGGGUUUAUCUUCAAAGUCGCCAUGUGACAUCAAAACCAUUCUAAUAAAAAAUAAUUCAUAUCACAGUUUAAAGCUAAGGGCUUGUAACCCACUCCUUUCACAUCUAAGGAAAUGAAAGCCUGGAGUGGUCAACUGACCUCUCCAAAGUCACACAGCUCAGCUGGUUCUAGAGCUCAGAUUUCAUAGGUGCCAAUCUAGCGCUCUAUUAGAUCAUAACUGAUCUUUGAUUUCCAUAAACAAGCUCUUCAGAGCUUACAAUUUCAUCUAUUUUCUAAGCUUCUAUUACUCCACACAGCAUGAACACCACUUGAUGAGUCAACUUAACUUUCUAUUAAUAUGAAACACUAUUCAAAAUGAUCAAAAACAUAACUCUGCCUUUCGCUCCACUGAAAAGAUUAAACCACUAAUGCCCAUGAGAAAUCUGAAAUAAAAUUUGGGAUACUUUUAGGUUGUCUAACCUAGAUACGUCUACUCUAAAAAUAGAAUUCCCCUCUUAAUCACAGUCAAACCAUAAUCAUAGCUUUGCUACAACAUAUUUUCAAGAAGGUUUUAUAGAUAGCUAGCAAGCAAAAUGUAGGUAUACUACAGUAAAAGCUUAUAUAAGCAGUUUUUAAAGUAAGAAUUUUAAAGAUAAUUUACCAUUAGAUCCAUCAGUGCAGACAGAACUCUUAUUCUCUAAAACUCAAGAGCACUUAAUUUACCUAGCUCAGCAACUUAUUAUCUUCAACAAUCAUUUGUUGACUCCUCAACAAUUUGCACUGCCAGUGCCAGGUGCACAGAAACCCAAAAGCAGGAGAUGCUGUCCUUGCUCACUGGGGGCUGAUGAGGGAGAUAAUUAAGGAGGCUCUCAUAGUGGCAUCUGACCGAGUCAAGGUGUGCACGUGAUGAAUGUAUAUCUGUGAAUGUGCACUUGGAGGGGCAGUUAAUAGAACUACUUGGGUUUUCUCAGGGAACAUGACUUGACAGAUUUAGUAAACAGUACAGCUGGUCCUUGACCAGUGUGGGUUUGAACUUUGAGGCUCACUUAUACCCAGAUUAUUUUUUCUGUAAAGGCAGUACAGUACUGUAAAUAUAUUUUCUCUUCCUUAUGAUUUUCUUAAUAACAUUGUUUUCUCUUAAUUUACUCUAAGAAUACAGUAUAUAAUACAUAUAACAUACACAACAUACGUUAAUUGACGCUUCAUGUUACAGGUGAGGCUUCUGGUCAACAGCAGGCUAUUGGUAGUUUUAGGAGAGUUAAAUGUUAUACGUGGAUUUUUUUUUUUUUUUACUACAGGUGGGGGAUCAUCACCCUAAAACCUGCAUUGUUCAAGGGCCAACUACAUAUGUACAAAAGCAGGGUAAGAUAAAUUAGAAUAAAGCAACAGAAAGCAGAAGAAUCCCUCUAAUCAUGCCCCAAACAGCAAAAAAAAAAAAAAAAA
rnacentral:lncRNA from 1 species